rnacentral:rRNA from 1 species
CAAUAGCGUAUAUUAAAGUUGUUGCGGUUAAAAAGCUCGUAGUUGGAUCUCGGCAGGCAGGGGGUGGUUCGCUCUUAGCGCUACUGCCCCAUUUGCCUGUGUGAUUGGCGGAGGUUUCGGGGUGCUCUUCGUUGAGUGACCCGGGGCGCCGUCAGGUUUACUUUGAAAAAAUUAGAGUGCUCAAAGCAGGCUUUUCACGCUUGAAUAUUCGUGCAUGGAAUAAUGGAAUAGGAACUCGUUUCUAUUUUGUUGGUCUUCGGAAAUCGAGUUAAUGAUUAAUAGGGACAAUUGGGGGCAUUAGUAUUCAGACGACAGAGGUGAAAUUCUUGGACCGUCUGAAGACUAACUACUGCGAAAGCAUUUGCCAAGAGUGUUUUCAUUAA